rnacentral:rRNA from 1 species
GACGAACGCUGGCGGCGUGCUUAACACAUGCAAGUCGAACGGAAAGGCCCUGCUUUUGUGGGGUUCUCGAGUGGCGAACGGGUGAGUAACACGUGUGUAACCUGCCCUUGACUUUGGGAUAACUUCAGGAAACUGGGGCUAAUACCGGAUAGGAGCUCCUGCUGCAUGGUGGGGGUUGGAAAGUUUCGGCGGUUGGGGAUGGACUCGCGGCUUAUCAGCUUGUUGGUGGGGUAGUGGCUUACCAAGGCUUUGACGGGUAGCCGGCCUGAGAGGGUGACCGGCCACAUUGGGACUGAGAUACGGCCCAGACGCCUACGGGAGGCAGCAGUGGGGAAUAUUGCACAAUGGGCGGAAGCCUGAUGCAGCAACGCCGCGUGCGGGAUGACGGCCUUCGGGUUGUAAACCGCUUUCGCCUGUGACGAAGCGUGAGUGACGGUAAUGGGUAAAGAAGCACCGGCUAACUACGUG